UACGGGGGGUGCGAGCGUUGUCCGGAAUCACUGGGCGUAAAGGGCGCGUAGGUGGUUUGAUAAGGGUGUGGUGAAAGUCCGGAGCUCAACUCCGGAUCUGCCGUGCCGACUGUCAAACUCGAGGGCUGUAGAGGCAGACGGAAUUCCGGGUGUAGCGGUGGAAUGCGUAGAGAUCCGGAGGAAGACCGGUGACGAAGGCGGUCUGCUGGGCAGUUUCUGACACUGAUGCGCGACAGCGUGGGGAGCAAACAGG
rnacentral:rRNA from 1 species